rnacentral:tRNA from 1 species
GCCCCUGUAGUCCAAUGGCAGAGACGAUGCACUCAAACUGCAUACAGUGUGGGUUCGAAUCCCACCGGGGGCACCG